UACGUAGGGGGCAAGCGUUGUCCGGAUUUAUUGGGCGUAAAGAGCGUGUAGGCGGCCGUACAGGUCAGCUGUGAAAACUCGAGGCUCAACCUCGAGACGUCGGUUGAAACCGUACGGCUAGAGUCCGGAAGAGGAGAGUGGAAUUCCCGGUGUAGCGGUGAAAUGCGCAGAUAUCAGGAGGAACACCGGUGGCGAAGGCGGGUCUCUGGGCCAUUACUGACGCUGAGGAGCGAAAGCGUGGGGAGCGAACAGG
rnacentral:rRNA from 1 species